CUGCAACUUAGUUUACAUAGAACUAUCAACUUGCAUUUGAUAAGCGAGAAAUCCUCAGUAGC
rnacentral:tRNA from 1 species